GUGAGCGUGGCCCAGUGGUUAAGGCGCCUGGCUGUGGCCCAGGUGAUCGAGGGUUCGAAUCCCUCCGCUCACCCCA
rnacentral:tRNA from 1 species